CCUACGGGGGGCAGCAGUGGGGAAUAUUGCACAAUGGGGGAAACCCUGAUGCAGCGACGCCGCGUGAGUGAAGAAGUAUUUCGGUAUGUAAAGCUCUAUCAGCAGGGAAGAAAAUGACGGUACUUGAUUAAGAAGCCCCGGCUAACUACGUGCCAGCAGCCGCGGUAAGAAGUAGGGGGAAAGCGUUAUCCGGAUUUACUGGGUGUAAAGGGAGCGUAGACGGCAGCACAAGUCUGGAGUGAAAGGCCGGGGCUUAACCCCGGAACUGCUUUGGAAACUGUGCAGCUAGAGUGCAGGAGAGGUAAGUGGAAUGCCUAGUGUAGCGGUGAAAUGCGUAGAUAUUAGGAGGAACACCAGUGGCGAAGGCGGCUUACUGGACUGUAACUGACGUUGAGGCUCGAAAGCGUGGGGAGCAAACAGGAUUAGAUACCCUAGUAGUC
rnacentral:rRNA from 1 species